rnacentral:rRNA from 1 species
UUUGACUGGGGCGGUCUCCUCCUAAAGAGUAACGGAGGAGCACGAAGGUUGGCUAAUCCUGGUCGGACAUCAGGAGGUUAGUGCAAUGGCAUAAGCCAGCUUGACUGCGAGCGUGACGGCGCGAGCAGGUGCGAAAGCAGGUCAUAGUGAUCCGGUGGUUCUGAAUGGAAGGGCCAUCGCUCAACGGAUAAAAGGUACUCCGGGGAUAACAGGCUGAUACCGCCCAAGAGUUCAUAUCGACGGCGGUGUUUGGCACCUCGAUGUCGGCUCAUCACAUCCUGGGGCUGAAGUAGGUCCCAAGGGUAUGGCUGUUCGCCAUUUAAAGUGGUACGCGAGCUGGGUUUAGAACGUCGUGAGACAGUUCGGUCCCUAUCUGCCGUGGGCGCUGGAGAACUGAGGGGGGCUGCUCCUAGUACGAGAGGACCGGAGUGGACGCAUCACUGGUGUUCGGGUUGUCAUGCCAAUGGCACUGCCCGGUAGCUAAAUGCGGAAGAGAUAAGUGCUGAAAGCAUCUAAGCACGAAACUUGCCCCGAGAUGAGUUCUCCCUGACUCCUUGAGAGUCCUGAAGGAACGUUGAAGACGACGACGUUGAUAGGCCGGGUGUGUAAGCGCAGCGAUGCGUUGAGCUAACCGGUACUAAUGAACCGUGAGGCUUAACC